CACCGCGUCGUCUAGCCAGACAGGACGUCGGCCUUUCAAGCCGAGAACACGGGAGCGAAACCCGUCGCGGUGGCCA
rnacentral:tRNA from 1 species